GACGAACGCUGGCGGCGUGCUUAACACAUGCAAGUCGAACGAUGAUGCCAGCUUGCUGGUGGAUUAGUGGCGAACGGGUGAGUAACACGUGAGCAACCUGCCCCUGACUUCGGGAUAACCGCGGGAAACCGUGGCUAAUACCGGAUAUGACGCGCUAUCGCAUGGUGGUGUGUGGAAAGAUUUAUCGGUUGGGGAUGGGCUCGCGGCCUAUCAGCUUGUUGGUGGGGUGAUGGCCUACCAAGGCGACGACGGGUAGCCGGCCUGAGAGGGUGACCGGCCACACUGGGACUGAGACACGGCCCAGACUCCUACGGGAGGCAGCAGUGGGGAAUAUUGCACAAUGGGCGCAAGCCUGAUGCAGCGACGCCGCGUGAGGGAUGACGGCCUUCGGGUUGUAAACCUCUUUCAGUAGGGAGGAAGGCCUUCGGGUUGACGGUACCUGCAGAAGAAGCGCCGGCUAACUACGUG
rnacentral:rRNA from 1 species